AUGACAGGUGGACUUAAGAUACUAAGUACGUCGGUAGCAUCAUAAAUAGAUCAUGAAGUGGAACAUUGCAGGAUUAGCCCGUCCCGAGCCAUACUCGGGGCAUUGCUGUCAACGAGGAUGCAAACAUGACAGCACCCCCCGCCCCCCCCUCUCACCCACCCUCUGUAGUCACGUGGUCCAGCGCGCUACUUGAUGGAAAAAUACUGGAUUUGGUGUCGAGCGUAGCACAGUACACAACCUAGUACAAAGUCAUUCACUGAGGAUUUUUCGAAGGGCGUCACGGACUUCACCCAGCAACAACGUUUUUAGGUCUACGUGAGCCACAAUUAAUCGACCGUGCUCUUUUACUUUACCUGUAACUGAAGAACAGGAAAUUGGACUGUGGUCGUGACCCGUCACGCUACUCUAGUCCAUGCUUUCAGACAACUUAAAAAAUAUCAACAAAAAGCAGCGCCAUCUUCUGCUCCUUCAGUGCCUGACGUUACUGCUUUCAAACGUGAAACUUGACUGACCUCUGGUGGACAAAGAGUGCAAUUGUCUUGAAACGCCGGACAAAUCAUCAUGGCUGUUGCUUUAUGUUAUGUUGAGUUUGUAUGUUCUCCCCGUGUGCUUGCAUGGAUUUUCUUUCUGCACAGCAUCAACAACAAUACAGUAUAGGUACACACAAACAAAUGAUUAGACCUCCUUACUAAUAUGUCCCUUUCAACAUGCCUGUGUAAGGGGUAGGCAGAAGUACAAUAAAUGAAUCUUCCCC